GUUUCUUUUCCUUUAGAAUGAAAACAUACUAAAGCAUCCAGUUUAUUCCUACUGAAUUACUUUUGACCUAUGAUAGAAAAACAUGUGUGUUAUUGACCUUUCAGAUAUUACACUGAAAGUGGCUUCCCAUGUCCACACCUGAGGAACCCAUCUGACCACUUCCUGAGGACAAUCAACAAAGAUUUUGACGAGGAAAUUGUAGAGAGUUCCAAAGCUAGGAAAAAAAGGCAGCUGAAGCAAUAGAGAUUCUGACAGAUUCUUACCAGUCCCCCGCUUAUUCAGAGAAAACAAUGGACCGGAUAGCUGAGAUGAAAGGGAUAGUAAGUUGCUUACAAGCCGCAUUUUUUUUCUCAAGAGUAAAGAUUGUAUUGUUUUGGCUGUACCAAAAUGUUUGGUUACAAAGAAGGGACUACCCAAAUGCGGACAAUCUGUAUAUACCAACUGCAAAAUAAUUACUAGGGCAAAUUCAGUCAGUGAAGUACUCCCUCUAGCUCAUGAAAAAGUGGUGUCUUUUACACAGCCUUCAAAAUGUACCUUUGGCAACUAGUUUUUGUUGUGGUAUAAUAUGCACAUAUAAUACCCAGUAAAAUUAUAACAUGUUGGAAAUAUUUUCUGAGAAACGCAUAUCAUUUUGGAUCUGAAUAUUCAAAACAUACUAGCCGUCAAAGUUUUCAAAGUUUAUCUCCUAAAGAAUCUCCAUUAUGAACUAGAGGGAACAACAUGCUAAUUCAGCGUCUGUACAACAUGUCAUUUUUCAUUUGAAUGAACCGGCAACAAAACUCUCGCCGCAGAGUAUACGGUGCUGGCCUAGCGAUGUUUACACAUUCAAAAUCAAAUUAUAGUUCUAGUAUUAUUGAGCUAUGUUCCAGGGUGGAGCUCCAUUUAGGAAGAGGGAACAAGCGAGCUUCUCAACAAAGCUCUUUAUACACACCAGAAGGUCAUUUGUGAAUAUGCACAGGGACAUAUGAUACUACUGGAUGCGCUUGGGUGUUUACCUGGGCAUUGGCAUUUGUCUUGGCACCAUAUUCUACCAAGUUAGCCACAAUUACAGUUCCAUCCAGUCUAGAUGUGAAGUAAUAAUGUAUACGACGGAACUUCUUACCUUCAUGGCCAUUGGAGGAUUCCCUUCUUUUCUAGAGGACAUAAAGGAUGCUUUCUCCCUGCCAUCAGAGUAUUCAGAAGGGAGAGGCCGAGUGGCCAUUACGGCGUGGCGGAGUUUGUGAUAUCAAACACAUUGUCAGCCACUCCAUACCUGGCCGUCAUCGCUGUGAUCCCUGGCGCAAUGCUGUACUACCUUACCGAGCUAAUGAAAGGACCUGACCGCUUCACCUACUUCGUCGUCAACUUGUGCAUGUGCACACUGCUGGUGGAGAGCAUGAUGAUGAUCAUCGCUGUCGUCGUCCCAGACUUCCUGAUGGGGAUCAUCAUCGAGGCCGGGGAGCAAGGGGUGAUGAUGCUCAAUGGAUUUUGUUUUCGUUGUUGAUCCUGAUUUAGAUAACACCAAAGGAACAAAUCAAGUGAGCUGCAACCAAAACUACCCAACAAGGUUGUCUACAAGGAUUCAGAAGACGACGAUUUGCUUCAACUGCAUUUGGAAGCAGCUGCUAGGAGCAUGGAAACCAUUGGAAGAACAUAAAGUUGAAGCAUAGAAAGGAAGGAGGUCUGACUCUUCUCAUUUCAAUUCCACUUUUUGUUAUUAGCUGCUGUCUUGCACCAAUUACAAUUACAGUCGGUGGGGCUGGUCGCCUUGGAUCUGCGAGAUGCCUUCGCACCGGCGUGACGCUGGUAAGAUUUUGUUUGCCGAGAGGUUUAAUCGUUUCAACCGAUUUAAAUGCAAAAGGGAGGUACACUCUCUCCUGAUGUUGAUGUUAAAUUAACUAUUGAAUGCUGGACUAUAAAAUAAUGGGAUCAAAAUUAGGUUCAACAUCGUCAAGGACAAGAACACCUGAACCCAGAGAAGAUGACUAUCUGAUAGUAAUCCCCUAUUCCCACAUAUUUGGGCUUAUGCUGGAAGCUUUAAAAUUGCCCCCUGCAAUUUACCAUCACAAGAUACGUCCGGGUGGCAAGGCUCGUGUGACAGUCACUUUCAAUUCUUCCUUAGAGCAGCUUGAUGGUUUGCUUGUUCCUACCUCAAUAUCUGGUAUGGUUUCACAUACCUAUGAAGAUGCAGAAGACAGUGCCGCUAUAGAAGCUAUUAGAUAUAUGGAAAACGUGCGUGGGAAAGAAAUUAGAGACUACCACUACACCCAUGUCAUAACGCUUCAAAAUCAAGUUAGGCAUUUGGUCACGUGGUUGUUGGAAGGAAAUGAGACUAUCAAGUAACUACGCAAAGGCUGGUACUAUGCUGUUAGGUAUAUGAGCUCAUAUUCUGACCAGAUACAGAACUCAACAACUGCUCGACACCUAAGAGGGCAAGCUAAUACCAAAGGGAUUAUGAAAUCAGCGCUGGUAGGCAUUGAGGAACUGACACAGAGGUUACAUUAUAUUGGAAUGAAGUCAGAUGAGCGGCUGAUGACUAUUAAAGAUAGCUUCUGAUAACCUUAAAAAACAUGUCCCAAUCAGCAGGUUUGAGUGCUUAGUAGGCAACAUACUUUUGGUUCUUAUUAGUCAAGUUUAGUAGUGGAACAUUUGUCUUUUGGAGGUCUCCAAGUGCUUUUAGAUUUGUACUAUGCAAGAAUCAUGUAGCGAUGACGUUCUGCUCCAAAGACCGAACCUACAAUGACAGCUUCCUUUAUGUAAGUACCUUAUCUCCUCUACGAUGCUUUGUGCUUGAGUACAA